UACAGAGACUGCAAGCGUUAUUCGGAAUUACUGGGCGUAAAGGGCGCGUAGGCGGCCCGUUAAGUCGAACGUGAAAUCCCCAGGCUCAACCUGGGAACUGCGUCCGAUACUGGCGGGCUUGAAUCCGGGAGAGGGAUGCGGAAUUCCAGGGUGUAGCGGUGAAAUGCGUAGAUAUCUGGAGGAACACCGGUGGCGAAGGCGGCAUCCCUGGGACCGGCAUUGACGCUGAGGCGCGAAAGCCAGGGGAGCAAACGGGG
rnacentral:rRNA from 1 species